GUGCUUGCCUCGGCAGCACAUAUACUAAAGUUGGAACGAUAAAGAAAAGAUUAGCAUGGCCCCUGCACAAGGAUGACAUGCAAAUUUGUCAAGUGUUUCAUGUUUUU
ensembl:snRNA U6 U6 spliceosomal RNA